ensembl:lncRNA
AGAAAUUGUCUGAAUUUGUUACGCCUGCGAUUGCACUGCUUUUACAGUGUUUGUGAGCUCUGUAGUGUGUGAGCUGCUGCUAGCUCCGGUUUUGUGCAUCCCAAGCAGAUUUUAGCUAAGUGACCUGGGCUGCAGAUGGACAAUUUCUUUCCAGUCAUUUCACCACAGCCCUUACCAGCACCCUGGUGAUGAAGCAGUGCAGAUGAGCAUGGCUGUUAACCCUCCAAGCAGAACUUUUUGGUUAACUCUGUUGUGCUUGUCCCAGUGGAGAGCCUGGUGGUGGUGGAGGAGCUCUGCCGGGGGUGCUGGGAUCUUCCUUUGGCUCUUGGGGGGAGCUAGCAGAGACAACACUGCUGCUGGAUGUCAGCAAGAACCUCCACUGUACAGAAGCAGUUUGGCUUCAGCCUGUGAAGUGACGUCAGAACCCUGAGAGUCCCUUUCACUUCACCCUGGGUCAGCUGCAUGGGAUGUAACAUGGAUGCCUGGUCUGGAGUGAUGGAGAUGAGCAGUCAGCUUUCAUUCCUGACAGAGCAAACAGCAAAACAAUGGAUUCUCUCAAUGGGCUACAGGCACAUAUUUCACUAAGACUCCAUAAAACAAGCAGUUUAUGAAUACCCAGCAAAAAAAGUCACAUGGAACAGCAACACAUUUUCUGCAGAAGGUACAAGCUGCUUUCAGUUCACAGAGUUUUGAUGGAAGUGUGGAAGAGGGAGCUCCUCUUCAGUGUCUUCACUGAAUCUCAUCAAAGGAUUCAUGCCUUCAACAGAACCUACCAUUCUCAAGGUGUGUGGGGAUUGCAACACUGUGCUUGCAUGCACUGUAGUGUUGUAGCCAAGGGCAGUGGCUGACAGCAGAACCAGAUGGGAGAGAGCAGAAGAGGCAUUUCUCCCUGUGAAAUGAGUGAAAAGGCCAUAGCUCUUCAAUUAAAUGUAACUUCCCUACGGCAUGAUGAUCAGUGCUGCACUGCCUACAGCACCAACUGAAAUAAGGAAUGAGCUUCCCUUUGCAAGCGGCAAGAAAAUUAAGAAAUGGCUGUUCCCUAUAUCCUGCCCUAUUGGAGUGGUGGUGAAGUGUUAAUGGGUCACAGAGCACAAGGAUGGCUGUGUUGUAGCUCAGAAAGGGAAAGGGGAAACGUGACAAAGUAGUAAAGGCAUCAUCUCUGAAAAUAAUAAAUCAUAGCUAUCGGUGUAUAAAUAAUAAAAGUAAUCAGCACUAUCUGCAAAGCGUCC